GUUAAUGUAGCUUAAAUAUAAAGCAAAGCACUGAAAAUGCUUAGAUGGAUUUUUAAUCCCAUGAACA
rnacentral:tRNA from 1 species